GGACCCGCACAAGUAGUGGAGCAUGUGGUUUAAUUCGAAGAUACGCGCAGAACCUUACCAACACUUGACAUGUUCGUCGCGACUUUAAGAGAUUAAAGUUUUCGGUUCGGCCGGACGAAACACAGGUGCUGCAUGGCUGUCGUCAGCUCGUGUCGUGAGAUGUUGGGUUAAGUCCCGCAACGAGCGCAACCCUCACUUUUAGUUGCCAUCAUUUAGUUGGGCACUCUGAAAGAACUGCCAGUGAUAAGCUGGAGGAAGGUGGGGAUGACGUCAAGUCCUCAUGGCCCUUACGUGUUGGGCUACACACGUGCUACAAUGGCGGUGACAGUGGGCAGCUACUUCGCGAGAAGAUGCUAAUCCCAAAAAACCGUCUCAGUUCGGAUUGCACUCUGCAACUCGAGUGCAUGAAGUUGGAAUCGCUAGUAAUCG
rnacentral:rRNA from 1 species